GUCCGCUGGCCACACCUCAAACGUUUGAUUGGCAGCUUCUCCAAUCAACUUUCUAUGGAAGGGGUGUGGACUUCAAACAAGCCAGAACAAGUUCACUCAUAAUUGUUGACUGUAGUUCCUCUGAAAACGUGAGCCAGACCGACUCAAACCAAUCACUGUCCACAGGUUACAAAAUGGCGACACACUAUCAGGAAGUGACGGAAAAGACUCUAGCCGGACUUUGCGAGGGCUGGAGAACCAGAAUCUUCCUCGUUUUGUGAUGAAUGGUUUCUCCAACCAGCUGCCAUGAAUCCAGCUGCAUGCUCACUUCAGAUAAACAACAUUUGAGGAGGAAGUAGGACGCCGGCGAGCGGCGGCGGCGGCGGCGGCGGCGGCGGCGGCUGCACUCAGUGUCACAGUCGGGGAAUUCAGGUCAGCUGGGCUCUUGUUCGGCUGCAUGUUUCUUGCAGGCUUACGCUCAACCUAAAUGUGAUGUUUUUCUUUUUUUUAGGAUAACUGCUGCAGUUUUACUUUUCAUUCAUCCACAGAUUUAUUUCUGCAGAUUCAUUCCAGUGGGGGGUGAGGGGUACUAUUGGUUCAAUAAUCGUCGUUUCGGCUCCGUCCUUCAGUCACAAAAGAGAACGUCAGUAAAAACACACACAGCCUUCCAGGUAGAAAGGAGCGUUUCAGUGGAGCGGACCCCCCCCCGAAGGAAUCACAUUACUCCAGCUGAUCGAUAAGAGGGAACGGAGGCUCACUUACAGCCGGAUGAAGCUCAUCACGUGCAGAAGAGGAGAGCAGCUCGCCAAACACAAAAACUGCAAAUGUUUCCACAUGGAACCGACACAAAGCAACAACUUGGCAUAAAAACAACUAUAUAAAUGUCUAGAUUUAUCAGACUCUUUUUAGAUCCUGAAGCCUUUUCUGAUUCGUUUC